AAGUGCAUCCAACCCGACUCGUGCAUAUGGAAGAUGCACAGAACAUCCACAUGCAGGGGCUAAAUAAACAGUUCGGCUGAGUAUCACUACUGGACUGAACAGCUCUACCCUGUAAUGAAGAGAACUUCUUGUAACAUUGCAGUUAUUCCUUGGAAAUAUUUGUUGUCUUGAAGUAUGUCAGGAAUUAAUCUUAACUUGGACUUCAGUGGCCCUGGCCGUAAUGAGUGCCAAGAGAAAGCCAGUGGAAAUGCCAAACACGAACAGUUCAAUAGAAAGAGGCGCUACCUGGAGCGUAAGGGUUUGCUGAAUAAAAAGCAAAACACAAAUAACAGUCAAAAAGGAAAAUGCACAAAGAAUCAUUUGCAUUGGAAAAGAAGGGACCAUUCACAAGCCAGUGCUGUUUUCCCAAAAUUUACUACUCUACAGCCCGAAUUGUCUGCAAAUUCCCCCAAUUUCAUGCAAGCCCACCAUGGGAACUCUGCGACCAUCAAGGAAUUCACAGUGCCUUCAAAGUCAACAUCUAGAGUAGGAUUCAGUUCAGUACUGCACAACCCGAUGAAAUAUGUAGCCCUUGACUGUGAGAUGGUAGGGACAGGGCUCAAAGGUCAUUGCAGUGAGCUGGCCCGCUGCAGCAUAGUCUCCUAUGAUGGGGAUGUAAUUUAUGACAAGUUCAUCAAGCCUGUUAAUCCAGUUACAGAUCUUCGCACUCCCUGGAGUGGAGUGAGAUGGCGAGAUCUCCAUAAUGCAACACCCUUCAAACAGGCCCAGAGAGAGAUUGUAAAUAUCCUCACAGGGAAAGUGGUUGUGGGCCAUGCUGUCCAUAAUGAUUUUAAGGUUUUGCACUAUUUCCAUCCUGUCCACCUCGUGCGAGACACCUCACGCAGUCCCAUCCUGAAUCGGAAAGCUGAUCUUCCAGAGAACAAGUCUGCCUCUCUGAAGACCCUCACAAAGAUUCUCUUGAACAUGGAUAUACAGAUGGGAAAGAGAGGCCACUCUUCAGUAGAAGACGCAAAAGCCACCAUGGAGCUAUAUAAAAAAGUAGCAGUGGAAUGGGAGACGACUUUAGCUUUAAAUACUGCUUCCUAGAGAAAAAAACCUGCUGGGUGAUGCCAAGUUUUCUACUUAAUUAAUGCUCAGUGUUUUAAGAAUGAGAUUUCAGCCUUUAAACCUAAACUUAAUCCUAGUUUUAAAUACAAAAAAGCUCUCCAACCAAUUUUAAAACUGUUAAUGCUACUUCCACAGUUUGAAAUGAUUGUUGUUCAGGUGCUAGUUGACAACUUAUUAUAACAACUUAUUUAAAAUAAAACAGUAAACUGCAAUCAGUGGUUAGUAAAGAUUAACCACUGAAGUAAACUUCAGUUGUCAUUGUAGAGUUUAAUCUAGAGUAAUCAAUUUCUGUGUGAGUGCAGUUGGUGUCUUUUUGGUGUGCAAGCAGGUUGGUGGUACAUCUGGAACUGGGGGCGGGGGGGUGCCGGAUGGCGCCGGAUGGCAGCAUGUCUGAUGGCACGCCUGGGAACGUUGGAAUGGUAGGAACAUUGGGUGCGAGGAAGAAAUUCAUUCUGGAUAGGAUGCAGUCCAUUACAGUGGUCCAUUACAGCACACCAUGCACACACACAUUAAUACAUACCUAGGGCAAUCUAAUCUAGCCAAGCCACCUACAUGCAUGUUUUUUGGGAGGUGGAAAAAACCUAGGGAUAAAAUGAACAUAGGAAAGUAGAAAGUAGCCCAAGCUCGGGAUUUUAACCAGGGACCCUGGAACCAUGCCACUUUUAAUUGUUAAUUUAUCUAGUUGUAAAUAUAGCAAUAACCUUGGGAUAUUUAAAGGAAAUAAUGAAUGCCAUUCCUUAAACAGGAUACAGGAUACAUGUUAAACUUGAACAGCAAUUAGUUUCACCUCUUGUAUAUUAAGAAGCACUUUGCUUGCACAGCUGGAAGACUUCUGUCUGGAACAUUCCGUUUCUCAAGAUACCUCGUAUAAUACUCCAGUUUUUCCGGCCUCAAAGUGUAAAGGUUGUCUUCUGAUUAGAGUAAGGACCUGGCUGUUUUAGCCUGGUUAAGGACACUACUGGCAAGGAAGCCUCCCUGUGCUAUUAGCCUUCCUGUCUGACUCUGCUUAACCUAUAUGUUAAAUUCCUCUAGUGUCUGAUAUUCAGGCUGCAAGAUUUAAGGAUACAAAGCUGUAUUCACCCUCCUCCUCCUCUGUGGGACAACCCAGCUGCAGCCAGGCAGAUUAACCCUGCUGUCUCAUUCAUUCUAUUUGCCACUAGAUAUCUCAGUUCUUCUGUUGCCACAAACAUGAAUCACGAAUGGAUUUCUUUUUUCCAUGUUUGCAGACUUGAAUCACUAAUGAGUCAGCUGCUGGGCAUCACCAUGGAUGUGAAUUACAUACAGAUCAAUGAAUUACAGACUUUAGUUUCAUCAUACCUAAGAUCUUGUAGUGUACAUGCUCCUCUCAUGUAGAAGUAAUGGUCAGGGUUUGUGUGCUUUUCUGAUUUUCUCUUGUAUUUACCUGAUGUGUCAUGGGUUACGAAUUUGUGGAUAAACAGGGACCUUAAGUGUCACACUUGCAGCUGCUCAAAAGGACUGCAAUUAGGGCAGCAUGGUGGCACAUCGGAUGGCAUUGCCACCUCACAGCUCUGGGGUCCCCAGUUUGUGUUACUGAAUUUAUGAUAUGCAUGUGUUGCAUUUCCUGUGUUCCCCUGGGGUCUGCAUAGGUUUCCUCUUGGUUCUCUGUCAACUCUCACCUCCUAAAAACAUGCAUUCAUGGAUGUGUAGAUUAUGUGUGAAUGUGUAUGUACAGGGUGCAAUGGACUGGCAUCCCAUCCUGGGUGUAUUCCUCCCUCACUCAGGAUAGUCUGGGAUACUCUUGAUGCACCAUGACACCAAACAAGAUAAAAAGUGGUUACUGAAGAUGAAUGAAUGGAUUUAUGCUCUUUAUUAGGAACACCUGUACAUCUGAUAAUUUAUGCAAUUAUCCAAUCAGCUAUUCAUGUGACAACAGCAUAACACAUAAAAACCUUCAGAUAUAGGUAGUUUCAGUUAAUGUUCACAUCAAAUGAGAAUGUGAUCUUGACUGUGGCAUGGAUAUUGGUACUAGAUGGGCUGGUUGAGUAUUUCAGAAACUGCUGAUCUCCAGGGUUUUGCACAACAAUCUCUAGAGUUUACACAGAAUCGUAUGAAAAACAAAAAUAUCCAGUUGCAGGCCGUUCUGCAGGCAGAAAAGCACCCCAGAAUGCACAAUAUGCCAACCAGCAGGAGACCACAUCAUUUCCACCUCUGUCAGCCAGGAACAGGAAUCUGAGGUUAAACUGGGCACAGGCUCACCAAAACUGGGCAGUUAAAUAUUGGAAAAAUGUCACCUGGUCUUUUUCCAGUCUUCAACUGCCCAGUUUUCAUAAGUCUUUCUUGCUGUUUUGUUUUGUUUUUGUUGUUUAUUUUAUAAUGUGUGGCAAUUUACCUGAGCCACAAGAAUUUCAAUGUGCAAACAUCCUUGACAUUCUGUACAUAUGACAAAUAAAAGACUUUGCAAUGGCAGAGCUCUAAGCAAAUGGUCUGCAUUUAUAUAGCACUUUUAUCCAAAGUGCUUUACACUGUGUCUCAUUCACCCAUACACCAACGGUAGCAGAGCUGCCAUGCAAGGCGCUAACUUGCCAUCAGGAGCUACGUGGGGUUCAUUGUCUUGCCCAAGGACACUUCGGUAUGUGGAGUUAUGUGGGCUGGGAAUCGAACCACCAACCCUAUGAUUAGUGGACAACUUGCUCUACCACCUGAGCCACAGCCGCCCUAUAAGCAUAUUUUGUUUUUUGGGGGUUGUUUUUGGUCAGGGUUUACUUUGUGGGUGAUCUACAGGGAUCAUUAAUGUAAUUGCUUGCCACUCCUCAGAAGAACUUGCAAUUAAAUAAAUUAAACUAAACAAUCUCUUUGAUUUUGCUGGAGUGUCCCCCAGAUAUUCGUCCCAUAACAAAACUGAUAUAGCCUUCAUAACCCAAGUAAAAUCUUUUACCGAUAGACUUUUUAAUUAUGACCAUGCCAAGAAUGCAUAUCUGUUUUAUCUUUGCUUUUUAAUUAUGUGGAGUCCUUUGAAGGUACAAAAGCUAUAUGUCUGAUAAAAGUGUCUGAGUGCCAGUAGUCUAGGACCAUGUGCACCAGGCCAGGUGGCUGUGAUGUAGGGUCAAAAGCUUUUAACUCAUUCAGAGAUUAACAAUUAUUUAAUUGAAUACGUUAAAAAGUGUUUUAACUAAUUUAGAGAUAUAAAAGAGCCAUGCUGUAAAAUCUAGUCUUUUAUCCAUCCAUUUUCUGUACUGCUUAUCCUACACAGGAUCAUGGGGAGCCUGGAGUCCCAGGGGACUCGGGCACAAGGCGGGGGACACCCUGGACUAGGUGCCCACCCAUCGCAGGCUGCGAGCACACACACAUUCACGCACUACGGA